AUGGGUUCUUUGCAAGAAAGAAUUGCUUCUACUAAAAAGGGAUCUAUAACUUCGAUUCAAGCAGUUUAUGUACCUGCAGACGAUUUGAUCGACCCUGCCCCUGCCACAACAUUGGCACAUUUGGAUCUCGCUAGAACGGCUCGUUUUUUAUCAGAAGCUUGUGAUUUAGUUUUUGAUGCAGCAAGUCAGGGAAAAAGUUUCUAA
rnacentral:rRNA from 1 species